CGGAGGCUGAUCAGCCUCAUUACUACCAGGUGACUGAGGGCCCCGCGGACACAGGGCUCCUCCCCCGCGUGUCCACGCGUCCACGGAUGAACCACGCGCCGUGGCCCCAGCCCAGGGGAGAGGAAAGCACUCCGUUCCCGGCAGGCGGCGGCCUGUCUGCUGGGAGAGAAUCAUAAUGUAGGUUUCUUUCUGUGGCCCAACCCAUCCCCUGCAUAUUUCCAGAAGAGGGAACGCAAAAGGGAAAAGAACGAAGCCUCUACAAAUGCCUCGGGCUUUCAUCCCAGCACAUCUGAGCCACAUCCUAAGCAGACAGCAGUUACAAGGGAAGCUUAAAGUGGAGACUGUAUUCCACUGCAUGUUAACAAACAGUUUUGUUAUUUCUCUAACAACACGUGCAAGGUCACCUUGGAGUUAUGGAAUGGAGAGUGUGUGAGGUUCCCAUUUUUAUUUUUCUAGAUGUGCCACAAGGCUGGCCUAGGCUGGGAUUUCGCGCAGAACUCAGAGAGAAGUAGAAACCACUUGUCUCUUGAAGUUUGCCUGCUGGUCUCCUAGCAACCGGCUCCUUGUUGGAGGCACAGUUGAGGUGUCUGGGGACCCAGAAUGUGAAGAAGCACAUAUUCGCUUUUCCACCAGAUAAUGAAUUUUUGUGUGAUUGUUACAAAUACUCCAUUUAAGUGACAGUGGAUCUCCUGCUGGCUUUCCAGGUGGAGGAGAGAGACAAAGACCUGCUAGGCUGGCAUUGAAGUCCCUGGAGUCUCACCAUAGAACAGGCAUUGGCUGGAAGUACACCGUGUCUCACCAAACUCUGACCCAACUGGUAUCAAAGCCCUGGUUCCGUCAGUCUCCGAGGAAUGGUCUCCUGCCUGAUGCCUGGCAGAGGAGAGGGGAAGCGUCAGAUGGAGCCUUUACAGUCUUUCCUCAAAAUGCGUGGCAUACAAUAGAAAAUUAUCAAACAUG